UUGUGAAAUGCUAAGAAUUCA
rnacentral:piRNA from 1 species